rnacentral:rRNA from 1 species
GCAAGUCGAACGCGAACGGAACUUCGGUUCUUAUUAGAGUGGCGGACGGGUGAGUAACACGUGGGAACAUGCCUUUCGGUACGGAACAACCAUUGGAAACGAUGGCUAAUACCGUAUACGUCCUUAGGGAGAAAGAUUUAUCGCCGAAAGAUUGGCCCGCGCUAGAUUAGCUAGUUGGUAAGGUAAAAGCUUACCAAGGCGACGAUCAGUAGCUGGUCUGAGAGGAUGAUC